rnacentral:miRNA from 1 species
GUUGAACGCAGAGAUGUACAUC